GAGUUCCCAACUAUUUCAAGUUAUAGGAAACUUAAGAAAAUUAAAGUUGAAACUCCUGAAUUCACAAGUAGCGAUGAAGUUGAAGUUGAUAAGCGUGAACCAUUUCUGAGCGUUCCAAUUGAGGACAGUCGAAGAACCGCACGCUUCAUCGGACCCGCGACCAUCACGACGGUGGUCGAGGCAAACAGGCUUUGGACCACCAAGCCUAUUUGGUACACGUGUCCUUGCACGUUGAAUCUCGAGGAUCCUCCCCUCACUGGGGCAAAGUAGAGACCGAGCUGGUGACAAAAGGCCGCACGCUUCGGCACGUGGCCGCCGGUGGGACGACUUCAGGGCACCACUCACGUCCCUAUGCGUUCUCUUCUCUAUUCCACCCUGCUCUCUUUUCAACGUCGGACCGUCGAUUGGCCACAAUUCAGUGUCGCGUCGUUGCACACAGUUUGCGGCGGUGAACGUCAAUUGCAUUGCGCCGCAUAUUUCAUUUUAGUCUGGUUCACAACCUAUCACCGCUUAAAGGGAUUCUAAUGAUAAUCCUUGAGGAGAAGGAAAAAUCAAAUGGUAAAUGGAAAAGCCAAAUCUGUGGAAGAUUAAUUUAGAAAUAUGAGAAUGCUGUCAUAAAUAAAACAGAUGCCUCAUAUGAUCAUGCAACAGGAAGGAAAAAACAGAGAAUCAGAAAAAUUCUAGAGUUUACCUU